rnacentral:rRNA from 1 species
UACAACUUUCAACAAUGGAUCUCUUGGCCCUGGCAUCGAUGAAGAACGCAGCGAAAUGCGAUAAGUAGUGUGAAUUGCAGAAUUCAGUGAAUCAUCGAAUCUUUGAACGCACAUU